AAAUGAUCUUGUUUUCAGAAGAGUCAAGCCCGUAAGCAUGCCGGCUCGCUAUAUUCACCCUCAUUGUUCUAAUGCUUUUCAUUGUUUCCAGUUGCUGAGACAUCCCUAAACUGCUAUGACACUGCUCUAAUGAUGCCUUCAUUGUACUUGCUGCUCUGAUAACCCAUAAUCCUGGAUCAGAAAGUCAGAAAAAAGGCUCAAACACACCCAGCUGUCAUAAUGAGGCCAUGUAUCAGGAUCCCCUGAUACACGGCACAGCACAGAUGCCCUCCUUCAAGCUUUCCUUGCUUGUUAUGCUUUCUCUGCAAGGAUUUCUCAGUGCAAAAUAGGCCUUCUCUGCUGGGCAUGGGCAUUAUCUGAUCCCCUGUACCACCAAACAAGGCCUGUGUGAGUUUUAAGUGAUGCAAAGGCCACAUGCUCCAGAGAGGCACCCUCGUACUUUGCUUCAUGUGCACUGAUUAGUGAAGCCUGGCAACAUCCUGGGAGGGGAAUAUUAUUGCCCUAUUAUAAAAUACCAUUCCUGAGGCAAUGUGCUUCCUGAUCCCAUGCCCAGAGCUAUAUGUCCACGUGAUGUCAGGGAGGAAAGCACGCAGCGUGACUGCUUUGAUUGGGAGUGGGGGUGGAUCUUCCUUGUUCAGUUAAUGCCACGUGGCCGAGACUGGGACCUUUCAUCAAACUCCGAGGUGUCUCUUCCUGGUUCGGCGUGGCUCCCAGCCAGCGAUGUGGGCAAGGGCAGGGUUCACUAGCUCUGAGUCACUUAGAUCCGGAGCACUACUCCUCUACCAGGAAGCAGAUCAAUGGGUCAUUCAUCUCUCUCAUUUCCUCUUUUCUGGAGGCACCUGCCCCAUGAAGCUGGCUACUGGCUAUUUAACCUGUUCUCUACCCAUGCCCCCAGGAGCUUCUCCAGUUUUUUCCCCUCUCUGCUUGCAGCCAGGCAGCAUCAGGCUGGAGAAUUAUUUGCAUUCCCAGGGUUACAGCACUGCCAGUUUCCUCCUGAUCUCGCCUGCAUGUUAGAUGUGCUGCUGACACAUAAAGAUGCCUCUAAGAGCAGCAGUAAGGCCUCCAAAAUUACUGAACAGAAUGGAUCUGCUUUAAGAGCAUGUGUUUCGCAUAUGUCUGUGCAUUCAGACAUCCUGCGACCUCUCUCCUGCCAAAAAAUGUUUCUAAACCACAGCUAUUUUUUGGAUGCAACAUGGUUAAGAGCACAAGGUGGCAUCACAUAUCGUCAGACAGGCAUUGAGGAACAGCAUCUCCAACCGAAACUGUUUAAUGGAAGCAGGAUGCAACUACCUGAGCUGGAAUUUGUCUCAGACACUGUGUUUUUGUUAUCAGAUGUCCUGGAUUCAGGAUGUCCUGGAUUCUUCCCUUGCUGUCCUGUGUAGUGAAAAUAACCAUGUUAGCUGACAGGCCCAGAAUCUUUUUAAUUGCUCUGCUGCUGCCUACUGUGGCCCUGUUCCAUGAAUAAUGAAAGGGAGUUCAUUCUCCA